CCCAUCCCGACCUCAGGUUGCUCUUCUGAGUGAGUAUGGUCUACACUGGCCAGGGAGGGGGUUUCGGAGGAGAGGCUGCUCUCUCAUCAGUUCCCUCCCCUGUUCCUGGCCACACGGAUCCCAAACCCCAUGCCCUGAGCUGGCCUAGGCCGGGUAGGCCAGACCAAUCAAAGCCACCUCCAACCUCCGCUUCCACCAGUGCCCCUGGUGUCCAAGAUCUGCCCUAGUGACACCUACAAAGUGUGGAAGAGCGGCCAGAACCUGAGGGUAGACACCACACUCCUGGGCUUUGACCACAUGACCUGGCAGCGAGGGAACCGCAGCUUUGUCUUCAGGGGCCAAGACACAAGCGCUGUGGUCAUGGAGAUUGACCACGACCGCCGGGUGGUGUACACAGAGACUCUGGCACUGGCUGGGCAGGACCGGGAGCUGCUGCUGGCUGCUGCUCAGCCCACCGAGGAACAGGUGCUGAGCCGGCUUACCGCGCCCGUCGUCACCACGCAGCUUGACACCAAGAAUAUCUCCUUUGAGAGGUGGGUGGGCAUGGCCUUGGUCACCCUUGAGCCAGCCUGGUGGGGUGCCUGCCUCACCUGGACCACUCUGCUUCCCCAGGAACAAGACUGGCAUCCUGGGCUGGCGCAGUGAAAAGACGGAGAUGGUGAAUGGAUAUGAAGCUAAGGUGUAUGGGGCAUCUAACGUGGAGCUCAUCACCCGGACACGGACAGAGCAUCUUUCAGAACAGC
rnacentral:sRNA from 1 species